UUUAAAUGGGGUGGCAAUUCUAAACCCAGGGGUGGGAAAUCUAAUUCCCAAGUAAUUGCCAAUCUUCUGGUUGGAGCCAUACACCAGAAUGGAGGAGUUAGAAAAACCACCACCUUGUAACCCAAAUUGCAGCAAACCAGAGAGUUCUCCGUCGUCAACAUGGUUCGACAUGGAACUUCCACUGCCAACUACUACAUCCUCAGAAACAGAGCCAUUUCGACUGGACCAAGCUGUGUGCAGCCAUGGCCUCUUCAUGAUGGCACCCAACAGCUGGGACCCACUCUCCAACACCCUCACUCGCCCACUGCGUCUUCACGACCAAGACACCGACCCUUCUUCUUCUUCGCCGUCGUUCAUCGUUACAGUUUCUCAGCGCUCCGAAUCCAUCGCCGUCAGGGUUCAUCAUGGGACCCACUUGCUCUCCCCUCACGAAGUUCGCGCCUUGAUGGCUCAGGUGUCGAGAAUGCUGCGAUUUUCCGAAGCGGAAGAGGAAGCUGUGAGAGGGUUCAGAAGCAUGCCCCUUGAUCAUCACAAUAGAAGCUUUGGUGGGAGGGUGUUUAGGUCUCCCACAUUGUUUGAGGAUAUGGUGAAGUGCAUUCUCCUCUGCAACUGCCAGUGGCCAAGGACUUUGAGCAUGGCUCAGGCGCUUUGUGAGCUUCAGCUGGAACUGCAAAAAGGGUCACCUCAUGAUGCUGUUGCGGCCUCGGGCAAUUUGAAAGUUAAGACCAGUGAUUUCUCCCCCAAGACACCAGCUGCUAGAGAGACAGGGAGAAAGGGUGUUAAUUCGUCUGGUGUUUCGAGAAAAGGCAUGUUUGUGAAGAAGAAAUUGGAGUUUGAACGGGAUGAUAUUUCGCAAAUGGAUCAUGUGUUGGAAUCUCGUUCGAAUGCGGCCUUGCUUCCAACAGAUAUAAAUGGCAAUGCAGGUCAUGGUUGUAACUCUUGUCAAGCCACAGAAGAGCUUGAUUCAGAUGAUACUUUCCCUGAUGGAAGAGAGUAUUUUAACCGCACUGGAAAUUUUCCAUCCCCAAGUGAGCUAGCGAACCUUGAUGAGAGUUUUCUAGCAAACCGAUGCAAACUUGGGUACAGAGCAAGUUAUAUAAUAAAACUUGCCCGAGCCAUUGUAGAAGGCAAAAUUCAAUUAAGACAACUUGAAGAACUCUCCGAAGGCGCAAGCUUAUCAAUUUAUACACAACUUGAUGAUCAGCUGAAGCAAAUUAAGGGGUUUGGCCCUUUUACUCGUGCCAAUGUUCUUAUGUGUAUGGGGUAUUACCAUGUCAUUCCAACUGAUUCUGAAACUAUUAGACAUUUGAAACAGGUUCAUUCAAGAAACUCGACCUCUAGAACAAUUGAGAGAGAUGUAGAAGAAAUUUAUGGAAAGUAUGAGCCCUAUCAGUUCCUGGCCUACUGGUCUGAAAUAUGGGACUUCUACGAAAGAAGGUUUGGGAAGAUGAACGAAAUGCAUUCUUCUGAAUAUAAACUUAUAACCGCUGCUAAUAUGAGAAGCGCGGGUAAAAGCCCAAGUAAGAGAAAGAGAGCAACCUGAAAGUGCCAAUGAUGCAGUCCUCUCCACAUAACCAAGUAUUCUACCAAGGACUGGGACUGGGAGUGAACCACAAACUUCGCCAUAACUGUUUUUCUAAGGAAAGAUUGCUAUUUAAUGGUUGAAUUGUCUUUUCCUUUAAAUAGAAGACCCCGAGACAAGGGUUAAUGAGGUGAUGAAGCGAGAAAAAAACACAAUUGUCUACUCCGAUGAACUUUGGUGGGGCAUUAAGGUUUGCGGUGGAGAUAACUCGAACCCCAGCGCGAUCCACAAAUAAGACACGACCACUCAAACUAUGGACCUCUAUCCAUCUUGGGCCACUCAUGUCCAACUUAAAGAUGAGAAAGUCUUCUAUCUCAUAGUCAUGGCUCAUGUACUUGCAUCUGAAAAGAACUAACAACACUUCCCCACACGUAGGGUCUCUUGCCAGCCUAUGCAUAUUUACUCUUUCUCCAUCACUAUCAAGCUUUGGUAACUGCAUAACCAACCUUUCAGCCGUAAUGGCAUUGAGAUCUUCAAGAUUGAAAAUAGUCACAAAAUCUUCAUUCAUAGCAUAUAAUUUCCAUCCAAGAAGCAUUAUAUCCUUGACUUCAAAACGUGACUCAAUUGUUUCAAUGCGAGACCAUGACUUGUCAUUGUCGACCCUGCAAAAACAGAGCUGUGGGAUCGAUCCAUCUUUAUCAUCAGCAGAAUAUAAAGAUAUCACCACCAAAUAGCUUUGAGAAGAGAAGGCAACUCUAAGAUUAUAAGGAAUCGUAUGCCCUGGUGGUAAUUGUGGGAGUUUAUAACUUUCACUAGAAACUGGAUUGAAAAUCCAUAACAAAUUAUUACAAAUGCUUUGGAACAUCAACCACCCCUCUUCUUCUGACCUAAGAGAUGCAAAGUGACCUUUCCCGACAUGAGUUGGGACCCUAAGCAGACGGUUGUCCCGUGUGAUGUCGUCGAAAAGGGUAGUGGGAUCUCCAGUAUUGCAAAGAAGAGUGGGUGGAAGCAACAGCCGGGCUGGGAACCGAGGAGUAGGUGGACCUUUGUUCUUGAUUGCACCGUUAACUAUACUACGCCAUCCACGACACACUAGUCGACACUUAAGCUCCAACCAAGACUUUCAGAAUCUCAACAACAGUAUGCUCCUCACCCUGUCCCAUGACAACUCAGGAUUCGAGUCCAAUAAUGAAUACUUGUUGCUGGUCCCAGGAAACUCUGCAGCUGGCACUGUCGUUUUUUUCUUUAUUUUUGUUUUUCUUGCUUUUAUUUUCUUUCAAUUCCUCAUCUUUUCUCUUAUCUUGCUCCUUUUCAUUCUCAAUCCUUUUCUCUUCAUUUUGUUUCUCUCAGUUUUUCUCUUCCUCACUUUGUUUU